UACGUAGGUGACGAGCGUUGUCCGGAUUUACUGGGUGUAAAGGGCGCGUAGGCGGGAUAGCAAGUCAGGAGUGAAAUACCGAGGCUCGACCUCGGGGCUGCUUUUGAAACUGUUAUUCUUGAGUAUCGGAGAGGAAAGCGGAAUUCCCGGUGUAGCGGUGAAAUGCGUAGACAUCGGGAGGAACACCAGUGGCGAAGGCGGCUUUCUGGACGACAACUGACGCUAAGGCGCGAAAGUGUGGGGGGCAAAC
rnacentral:rRNA from 1 species